rnacentral:lncRNA from 1 species
GAGGAGUACUAAGAGUCGGCAUCCUUGUCUUGUUUACAUUCUCAGAGGGAAUGCUUUCAACUUUUCCCCAUUCAGUAUUAUGUUGGCUGUGGGUUUGUCAUAGAUGGCUUUUGUUACAUUAAGAUUGGAAAAGAAUGGCCCAGAUCCUCUGGGCUCCUCAAAUGAGCGGAUUCAGAGAGAAGCUUUUGAGAGAGUGCUGGCAAAGAUAUUUUUCACAAAAGAACUCUUGAGGUGCUCGUGUCCAUGGCGUGCCUGGGAAGGCCCACCAACACUGGCCGGCCUUCAAGCACCCGGGCCUCUGCUCGUGUACAGCUCCUGAUCUGCCCUGCCUCUGAGUUACUGGGGAAAAUGAGCUUAUAUAUGAAGAAGUCAGUGAGUGGACAAAGCCAGGCGCAAUGGAUAGCAAUUCAAGUUAGAAGAAAACUGCAGCACGGAGUCUGCUCUCAGCUGUUUGGGAAUUACUGAUGCCUUUGACUAAGUCAAGACUGACUUUUCCAGAAUAUCACCAAGACAUAGAGCCGUCCCUGUCCAAGUUUGUGCGCUAGCCCUUCAUGGAGGUCAGAGAGGAAGGCACAAAGGCAGCUGUGGCCUUGGCGGUCACAGUGUCAGAAUGUGCAAGCCCCAUAGAGAGGUUUCACGCAGGCCACCCAUCCCUUUUCAUUCUCCAGCAGAACAGGACAGAGAGCAUUCUGUUCUGCAGAAGGUUUUCCAUUCUACAAGGCAAUCCCUCCAGCUGCUUUGCUGUAUUGUGCUGUCUCCUGUCACACUAUGAAUGCAGGGACCUCAGCCAGCAGCAGGGAGAACCCCCCUGCCCCCCGAACAAAGGACCUCAUGUGAAAUCCUGAGCUCAGAGCUUACAGAUAUGUGUGCACUUUCACUUUACAUAGGCUGUGACUUUCAAACAACUUCAGGAAACUUUAGGAUCUCUGAGGUAUACUGGAGAUUAUAGCAGCGUAGAAUGUUCAUUUGGAUUUAGAACAAAAAUGCUUAUUUUAUAUUUGGCUGCUCCCAAACUGUCCCCAAACUUCCUCUCCAGCGGUUACCCCUCCACUGCCCUGGAUGUCCCACAUUUACACUCACACCUCCACCCUAACAAAGUCCUCCACGGGGUCAAACCAUACAUCACUUCAUCUCUGUAGAGACGACUUCCUGUCCUCUGGUCUGUGGAUAAAGACCCCAGAUAAAGAUGCCUGUGUUGCUCAACUCUUGUAUAUACACUUGAAACAUUUUGAAAGCAGAAGGAAAGGAGACAGAUGACGUGGGAAAAUAAAAAGGAUGGUCUGCUUGUUCAGAAACAUUUUGAGAAUGCCCUUCCCUAAGAGAGAACAGUAAAAGUGAACAAUACUUCCUGA